CAAUGAACUGUGUAAGAACUGUAUAAAAGCGUCUGUGCGUAAUGUCAGGCUGUAUGUUCUCGUACCUGUGUUCCAGGUGUUUCCGCAAGUGGCCCAGGGGAGCUCCGCGCUGAGGGAUGAGAACAGAGAGAUGUGAUGCUGGGCGUGCUACCUCCAAAGAUGGGGCAGAUCUUCCUCCAGCAGGUAAUGCUCCCCUGGCUAGUGUACUGUCCCAGCGAAGUCUCCAGGACAAAGAGGGGAAUCCCACAGCACAGGUACGGGAAUCUCCACACGUUUCCCAAGCCGACAACGUUUCCGGCCAUGGCGAAGAAAUACUCCAGUUUACUUCCCCACUGGUCCCUGUCCUUCAUCGGAGUCCCCGGGCCUGCCAUCAUGCCACCCUGAUGGAUCACCUUCGAAUGCACCUCUGGCUCAUGGAACCUGCUAGGGCAAACCCCUCCUUCCCAUUGGCAGUGCGGCGGUGAUGUCAUCAAACAACUCAGAUUCCAUCCUAAACACAACAUGUUUUCUUUUCAUGACCUGUGUACGUCUAUUGAACAAACUGCUCAGAGUAACUUGAGGAGUUAGAUAAUUAAAGGCAGGAUAAUAAUUAA